ACGAGAAAAAACAAAAAAACUAAUUGAUAUUGAUACCCAAUUAGUGUUUCA
rnacentral:misc_RNA from 1 species